GGACUACUGGGGUAUCUAAUCCUGUUUGCUACCCACGCUUUCGCGCCUCAGCGUCAAUGUCGGUCCAGUUGGCCGCCUUCGCCACGGGUGUUCUUCCCAAUCUCUACGAAUUUCACCUCUACACUGGGAAUUCCACCAACCUCUACCGAAUUCGAGUAAAGCAGUCUUGAAUGCAAUUCCCGGGUUGAGCCCAGGGCUUUCACAUCCAACUUGCCAAACCGCCUACGCGCCCUUUACGCCCAGUAAUUCCGAACAACGCUAGCUCCCUUCGUAUUACCGCGGCUGCUGGCAC
rnacentral:rRNA from 1 species